rnacentral:rRNA from 1 species
UACGUAGGUGGCAAGCGUUAUCCGGAUUUACUGGGUGUAAAGGGCGUGUAGGCGGGACUGCAAGUCAGAUGUGAAAACCACGGGCUCAACCUGUGGCCUGCAUUUGAGACUGUAGUUCUUGAGUACUGGAGAGGCAGACGGAAUUCCUAGUGUAGCGGUGAAAUGCGUAGAUAUUAGGAGGAACACCAGUGGCGAAGGCGGUCUGCUGGACAGCAACUGACGCUGAGGCGCGAAAGCGUGGGGAGCAAACAGG